rnacentral:rRNA from 1 species
UCGAAGCCUCACGAUCCAGGCGACCCGCGAAUUUGUUUUACCACUCGGGGCGGCGAGAGGCGUUUCGCGCCUCGGUCCCCCUAGUGUCGGAGGCGCCCGUUCUCGUGCGGGCUCCUCUUGGCCUAAUAACAAAACCCCGGCGUUGAAUGCGCCAAGGAAAUCGAGAUCGUCUAGUGCGCCCCCGUCGGCCCGGGGACGGUGCUUGUGCGGGGGACGUCGUGACACGCGUAUCCAAA